rnacentral:rRNA from 1 species
AUUGAACGCUGGCGGCAGGCCUAACACAUGCAAGUCGAGCGGAUGAGGGGAGCUUGCUCCCUGAUUUAGCGGCGGACGGGUGAGUAAUGCCUAGGAAUCUGCCUGGUAGUGGGGGAUAACGUUCCGAAAGGAACGCUAAUACCGCAUACGUCCUACGGGAGAAAGCAGCGGACCUUCGGGCCUUGCGCUAUCAGAUGAGCCUAGGUCGGAUUAGCUAGUUGGUGAGGUAAUGGCUCACCAAGGCGACGAUCCGUAACUGGUCUGAGAGGAUGAUCAGUCACACUGGAACUGAGACACGGUCCAGACUCCUACGGGAGGCAGCAGUGGGGAAUAUUGGACAAUGGGCGAAAGCCUGAUCCAGCCAUGCCGCGUGUGUGAAGAAGGUCUUCGGAUUGUAAAGCACUUUAAGUUGGGAGGAAGGGCUGCUGGUUAAUACCCUGCAGUUUUGACGUUACCAACAGAAUAAGCACCGGCUAACUUCGUG